rnacentral:rRNA from 1 species
UACGAAGGGGGCUAGCGUUGCUCGGAAUCACUGGGCGUAAAGCGCACGUAGGCGGCUUUCUAAGUCGGGUGUGAAAUCCCUCGCCCAACCGAGGAACUGCGCCCGAGACUGCUUCUCUUGAGUCCCGGAGAGGAAGAUGGAAUUCCCGGUGUAGCGGUGAAAUGUGUAGAGAUCGGGAGGAACACCGGUGGCGAAGGCGGUCUUCUGGACGGUGACUGACGCUGAGGCGCGAAAGCGUGGGGAGCAAAACGGG